CCUACGGGAGGCAGCAGUGAGGAAUAUUGGUCAAUGGGCGGGAGCCUGAACCAGCAAAGUCGCGUGAGGGAAGACGGUCCUAUGGAUUGUAAACCUCUUCAGGCGGGGCGCAAUGCCGGGCACGCGUGCCCGGAGGGAGAGUACCCGCAGAAUAAGCAUCGGCUAACACCGUGCCAGCAGCCGCGGUAAUAGGGGGGAUGGGAGCGUUAGCCGGUUUUAUUGGGUUUAAAGGUUGCGUAGGCGGAUUUUUAAGUCAGCGGUAAAAUGUCCGGGCUCAACCCGGGCCGGCCGUUGAAACUGGGGAUCUUGAGUGGGCGAGAGGUAUGCGGAAUGCGUGGUGUAGCGGUGAAAUGCAUAGAGAUCACGCAGAACUCCGGUUGCGAAGGCGGCAUACCGGCGCCCGACUGACGCUGAGGCACGAAAGCGUGGGGAUCGAACAGGAUUAGAUACCCCAGUAGUC
rnacentral:rRNA from 1 species